ACCGACAUCAGAGAUUCAUUCUGUGAGCCUUGACCAACGGCCAGAUAGGCGUUCAUGCCCAGCUCUUUCAUCUGCUCUUCGCCAAUCACGCGAGUCGUUGUGCUCGCGCUAUAGGCAUCCGCCAGUUGGCGCGCCUGAGAGGCCAGAUAGGCGGCGUUACAGAUAUUAGGCGGCAUAUUGCCCAGAUCUUUCGC
rnacentral:antisense_RNA from 1 species